CCUACGGGGGGCAGCAGUGGGGAAUAUUGCGCAAUGGGCGAAAGCCUGACGCAGCGACGCCGCGUGAGGGAUGAAGGUCUUCGGAACGUAAACCUCUGUCAGCAGGGAAGAACGGUCACUGUGCUAAUCAGCAGUGAAUUGACGGUACCUGCAAAGGAAGCACCGGCUAACGCCGUGCCAGCAGCCGCGGCAAUACGGAGGGUGCGAGCGUUAAUCGGAAUUACUGGGCGUAAAGCGCUCGUAGGCGGGAUGUCAAGUCAAGGGGGAAAUCCCCGCGCUCAACGUGGGAACUGCCUUUGAUACGGGCAAACUGGAGUGUGUGAGAGGAUAGUGGAAUUCCAGGUGUAGUGGUGAAAUCCGUAGAUAUCUGGAGGAACAUCAGUGGCGAAGGCGACUAUCUGGCACAUAACUGACGCUGAGGAGCGAAAGCGUGGGUAGCAAACAGGAUUAGAUACCCGAGUAGUC
rnacentral:rRNA from 1 species